rnacentral:lncRNA from 1 species
AACAGGCUUUCAGUUGCUAUAAAGCAGUUUCUUUACAUAAGCAGUUUGUUUUCUUUAGCGAUAGUAUAACUCCUAUUGGAAUGAUUUGACCGGCAACAACCAUAUGACAAUUUCUUUAUCGAGCCAGGCACCAGCCUCAAGGCACCGGCUGAGGGCUAUAGCCCUGGCCAUUGGGGCACCUGCACCCUGGGGAGCCCCCCUGUGAAUGCCUGGCCUCUGGUGAUGCCACUUCUUUCCUGUUGUUCCCCCACCUGUGGUGGUGGUAGCUGCUUCCUGCCGUUAGUAAUAUCCAGAUUAUUUUAGCCUGCGAAUUUUUGCUCUUUCAGUGCUCCAAGAACCAUACAACCAAGUCCUGAGUUAAAUCCCCUCUGUUUUAAAUACCUAGCAUAACUAUUCUCUUGACCAGAUCCCAGCUGAUAGCAUAUACCAAGAGAAACAGUUGGCACCGACCAGACCAGAGAGAUGCCAGGGAUGGAGCAGAGGGGCAGUAACCAGGGAACGAGCUGGAGCUGUGCGGGGGGCAGGAACUAGAGGGAGGAUUUCUAGGGCAACCCACCCAGUUGGUUGAUGAUGCAACUUUGGCAGAGUGUGCUGUCAUAAUGGCGCCCUCACCAGUGUUUCCUGCUCUCUAGCUGAGUGGCCUUGUCAACGCCUCAUCCACUACUUACAACAUGGGUCUUCAGUUUGCAAAAUGUGAAGGUUAGUCCAGAGGAAUCCCAUGCCAUGCUUCUUUUUGGCUGCAUGGAUCCAAGGGAAAUAUGGAUAUGAGCAAGUAACAAGAACACGUCAGCUGCAGUUUACUUUCAUCCUUAAGUGUGUUGCCCUUGACAGUUUUAAUAACUAUUUCUGUCUAAGUUACAAAGCUUUGUACUGUCUGUUUGGCUUUUAGUUAAAUUGGCUCCCUGAAAAAGGAAUAUAUGCUAACGCUCAUGCUCCAGUUGCUUUCAAGUAAAGCAGAUUAGCAAUAUCAUGCAUCAUGUCGGUUUCUGCUCAGUAAUCACAAAUGUUGACAUGUUUCUUCAAAAAUGUAUUCACUACAUCUGCUGCUUUCUGAAAGACUGAAAUAGUGGCUCUUUUUUUGGAAAUGACAUUAAUGGCAUAUUGAUAACCACGUUUGGUUACA